rnacentral:rRNA from 1 species
ACGUAGGAGACGAGCGUUGUCCGGAGUUACUGGGCGUAAAGGGUGCGCAGGCGGCCUGGCGCGUCGCGAGUGAAGUCUCCUGGCUCAACUGGGAGGGUGGUCGCGAGACGGCUGGGCUUGAGGCUCGGAGAGGGAAGCGGAAUUCCCGGUGUAGUGGUGAAAUGCGUAGAUAUCGGGAGGAACACCAGUGGCGAAAGCGGCUUCCUGGCCUGUUCUUGACGCUGAGGCGCGAAAGCUAGGGGAGCAAACGGGA